GUGAGCAAGAAAUGUAUCUCAUUUAUCCCUGUGUGGUCCACAGCUCCCAGCGCAGGCUCUGGCACAGAGUGGCUGAAUGUUAGGAUUCGAAAGAAAGAAAAGAAGAGCCGCAAUGGCCAAUGCAGCGAGUGAGUCCAAAAGGAACAUGGGCGCAAAAGAGAAAAGACGAAAAUGUGCUCUUUUU